rnacentral:rRNA from 1 species
CCUAUGGGCGGCUGCAGUGGGGAAUUUUGGACAAUGGGCGCAAGCCUGAUCCAGCCAUGCCGCGUGCAGGAUGAAGGCCCUCGGGUUGUAAACUGCUUUUGUACGGAACGAAAAGCCUCUCUCGAAUAAAGAGGGGUGAUGACGGUACCGUAACAAUAAGCACCGGCUAACUACGUGCCAGCAGCCGCGGUAAUACGUAGGGUGCGAGCGUGAAUCGGAAUUGCGCGGGCGAAAUUGCAAGCAGGUGGUGAAAUCCCCGGGCUCAACCUGGGAACGGCCAGUGUGACUGCAAGGCUGGAGUACGGCAGAGGGGGAUGGAAUUCCGCGUGUAGCAGUGAAAUGCGUAGAUAUGCGGAGGAACACCGAUGGCGAAGGCAGUCCCCUGGGCCUGUACUGACGCUCAUGCACGAAAGCGUGGGGAGCAAACAGGAUUAGAUACCCGAGUAGUC